CCUACGGGAGGCAGCAGUCGGGAAUUUUGCGCAAUGGGGGAAACCCUGACGCAGCAACGCCGCGUGAGUGAUGAAGGCCUUCGGGUUGUAAAGCUCUGUCUUCCGGGACGAACGAUUUUCAGUUAACUGCUGGAAAGGUGACGGUACCGGAGGAGGAAGCCACGGCUAACUACGUGCCAGCAGCCGCGGUAAUACGUAGGUGGCGAGCGUUGUCCGGAGUUAUUGGGCGUAAAGGGCGCGUAGGCGGCCGGUUAAGUCAGUAGUAAAAACCCGCAGCUCAACUGGGGGGCGGCUAUUGAAACUGACGGGCUGGAGGGCACCAGAGGAGAGCGGAAUUCCCGGUGUAGCGGUAAAAUGCGUAGAUAUCGGGAGGAACACCAGUGGCGAAGGCGGCUCUCGGGGGUGCAACUGACGCUGAGGCGCGAAAGCAAGGGGAGCGAACGGGAUUAGAUCCCCCUGUAGU
rnacentral:rRNA from 1 species